rnacentral:rRNA from 1 species
GAUGAACGCUGGCGGCGUGCCUAACACGUGCAAGUCGAACGGAGAUUACGGACGGAAGUUUUCGGAUGGAAGACUGUAAUUCUUAGUGGCGGACGGGUGAGUAACGCGUGGGCAACCUGCCCUAUACAGGGGGAUAGCAGCUGGAAACGGCUGGUAAGACCGCAUAAGUCGGCGAGACCGCAUGGUUUUGCCGGGAAAUGAGCAAUCAGGUAUAGGAUGGGCCCGCGUCCGAUUAGCCAGUUGGCAGGGUAAAAGCCUACCAAAGCAACGAUCUGUAGCCGGACUGAGAGGUCGGACGGCCACAUUGGGACUGAGACACGGCCCAAACUCCUACGGGAGGCAGCAGUGGGGGAUAUUGCACAAUGGAGGAAACUCUGAUGCAGCGACGCCGCGUGAGUGAAGAAGUAUUUCGGUAUGUAAAGCUCUAUCAGCAGGGAAGAUGAUGACGGUACCUGACUAAGAAGCCCCGGCUAACUACGUG